rnacentral:lncRNA from 1 species
AAAAGGUUUAGGGUUUAAAACUUAAAAUUUAGAUUUUAAAUUGAAAAUUAAAUUUAAUAUUUUAUUCAUAUUUUAUAUUUAAAUUUAAAUUUUAAAAUUUAAAUUUAAUUUCCAAAUAAAAUUCAGUAAAAAAUUAUUAUUUGAAGGCAGCAAAAAAAUUUUUGCUAAACAUCUUACCAAAUUAUAUCAGAAAAAUUACUUUCCUAUUAUAGAUUCAACCAAACAUUCUAAAAGUUAUAACCAAAAUUAUUUAUUCUUCAAACCAAAAUUAUUUAUUCUUCAAACUAAAAUUAAUUCAGCAGAAAUUACUUUUUCAAUAGUUAGACCCAAAA